rnacentral:rRNA from 1 species
UACGUAGGGGGCAAGCGUUGUCCGGAUUCAUUGGGCGUAAAGAGCGUGUAGGCGGCCAGGUAGGUCGGUUGUGAAAACUGGAGGCUCAACCUUCAGACGUCGACCGAAACCAUCUGGCUAGAGUCCGGGAGAGGAGAGUGGAAUUCCCGGUGUAGCGGUGAAAUGCGCAGAUAUCGGGAGGAACACCGGUGGCGAAGGCGGUUCUCUGGGCCUUACCUGACGCUGAGGAGCGAAAGCGUGGGGAGCGAACAGG